rnacentral:lncRNA from 1 species
UAUGAAUCAUCGCAGCUGAGACUAUAAUAUUUUUCCCAGUUACGUCAAAAAGAUUUUUUUUUUUGGAGGCACAAGAAUACUUUUAUUGAAUCAUUACUUUUAUUUUUAUUUAUUUAUUUCAUUUUGAUCUUUUAAAAAGAUAACAUGUCGCAUAUCAUGCAAAAAUUCAGCCUCGUGCUUCUUCCAGCUUGCGUUUUGUUCGGUUUGAUUUUUCUGAAUCAACACCAGCAGCAAUUAUAAUUCGGUUAAGAAAUUGCAAACAGUUGAUAUAUUUCAUGAAUUUAAGUUUCUGGUUUGCCUAUGAUGCAUUUCCUAUUACACAUUAUCAGAGAUUAAAGAUGAUGAUAUGAAAUUGUCACUACCUCUGAGCAAUUUACCAUGAAUUAUUAUCUAGAUUAUUUUAGAUAUUGUUGCAC